rnacentral:lncRNA from 13 species
AUGAGGGAACGCGACUGGCAAGGAAGCCCGAGAGGCAGCCCCAAAAAUGUAUUGGGGGGGGGGGGGCACUUGGAGCUGUCGGCGAAGCUGAGGGCUGAGUCUGAGAGGGUCGAGGAGUUAUUGGACAGAUUGGAGGAGAGUGAACGGAUGGGAGAUGAGGAGACACUCGAGGAGUUGUUAAUAGAAUUGGAAGUGAGUGAAGAGAGAGAGCUGUUGAUUUGGCGUAGUAUGCAAGGCAUUCACCCUGAGGUGCGUGUCCCCAGCCCGGUACCACCAGUGCCGGCACCCCGCACCAGGCUGUCUCUCCGUCCCAUCGCAUGUCCGGCGCUACCAGAGUUUCCGCCCCUCAGUCCAGAGGCGCCAGAGCUCCUCUGUCCAGCGCUGCCAGAGCCUUCCUCCUCUCCAGCGCUGCCGGAGUCUCCCGCCUGUCCGGCGCUGCCAGAGUUUCCGCCCCUCAGUCCAGAGGCGCCAGAGCUCCUCUGUCCAGCGCUGCCAGAGCCUUCCUCCUCUCCUGCGCUGCCGGAGUCUCCCGCCUGUCCGGCGCUGCCAGAGCUUCCACCCCUCAGUCCAGAGGCGCCAGAGCCCCUCUGUCCAGCGCUGCCAGAGCCUUCCUCCUCUCCAGCGCUGUCGGAGUCUCCAGUCUGCCUAGCGCCACCUGAGCUGCCCGUCUGCCCAGUGCCGCCUGAGCCGCCCGUCUGCCCAGCGCCAUCUGAGCCGCCCAUCUACCCAGCGCCAUCUGAGCCGCCCAUCUGCCCAGCGCCAUCUGAGCCGCCUGUCUGCCCAGCGCCAUAUGAGCCUCCCGCCAGUCAGGAGCUGCCAGAGCCGUCAGUCAGCCAGGAGCUGCCAGCGCCGUCAGCCAGCCAGGAGCUGUCAGAGCCGUCAGCCAGCCAGGAGCUGCCAGAGCCGUCAGCCAGCCAGGAGCUGCCAGCACCGUCAGCCAGCCAGGAGCUGCCACAGCCGUCAGUCAGCCAGGAGCUGCCAGCGCCGUCAGCCAGCCAGGAGCUGCCAGAGCCGUCAGCCAGCCAGGAGCUGCCAGAGCCGUCNNNNNNNNNNACUCAAUAG